rnacentral:rRNA from 1 species
CAGGCUUAACACAUGCAAGUCGAGGGGCAGCAUGGUCUUAGCUUGCUAAGGCCGAUGGCGACCGGCGCACGGGUGAGUAACACGUAUCCAACCUGCCGUCUACUCUUGGACAGCCUUCUGAAAGGAAGAUUAAUACAAGAUGGCAUCAUGAGUCCGCAUGUUCACAUGAUUAAAGGUAUUCCGGUAGACGAUGGGGAUGCGUUCCAUUAGAUAGUAGGCGGGGUAACGGCCCACCUAGUCUUCGAUGGAUAGGGGUUCUGAGAAGAAGGUCCCCCACAUUGGAACUGAGACACGGUCCAAACUCCUACGGGAGGCAGCAGUGAGGAAUAUUGGUCAAUGGGCGAGAGCCUGAACCAGCCAAGUAGCGUGAAGGAUGACUGCCCUAUGGGUUGUAAACUUCUUUUAUAAAGGAAUAAAGUCGGGUAUGUAUACCCGUUUGCAUGUACUUUAUGAAUAAGGAUCGGCUAACUCCGUGCCAGCAGCCGCGGUAAUACGGAGGAUCCGAGCGUUAUCCGGAUUUAUUGGGUUUAAAGGGAGCGUAGAUGGAUGUUUAAGUCAGUUGUGAAAGUUUGCGGCUCAACCGUAAAAUUGCAGUUGAUACUGGAUAUCUUGAGUGCAGUUGAGGCAGGCGGAAUUCGUGGUGUAGCGGUGAAAUGCUUAGAUAUCACGAAGAA